UCCUGGGGAAAGACAUGGGGUGGGAGGGUGUCUAGGGGGUGAUGGAAUGUCAGGCUCUCUGCCUGUGAUCCUGGCUACAAAGUGAGGCCUGGCUGGGCCAAGGGUGGUCGGUGGCUAGGCCAAAGCUAAGCCUCAAGCCUCUGACCUAGGAGCACCUGAGUCUUCGGAGGUACCGCGGGAACCGAACCGUGUUUGUGUCUAGGUAGAAGAGGACCACCUGCCUAAGGGCAACACAGCCCACACAGAGCUGGGCCCUUUCACAUCAAUCAACCAUCAAUCAAGAACAUGCUCCCUCGACAAACAGCCAAGAGCAGGCUGAUGGAGACAGUCCUUCAAGUAGUGCACAGCGCGUUCUUCCCAGCUGUGGUGGCCCCGGUCUCCAGUCAUGUCAAGAAGGGAUUCAGAAGAAUGGAUGCUCAGAAGAAGAAGGAAAUCAAGUGGCUCGACGUGAAGCCAGGACCUUUGAGUUACCCUGCGUCGCUUCCUGCCUGGGUAACCUGGAAGGAAGGUCAGGGUACAUCUCUAGACCCCAGCAUUCUUAUCUGUGAACUGGGGGCUGUAUUCCACCUUAGAGAGUUGUCAGGAUCAGCAUACGCAUGAGCAGGGAAUGUGUCCAGAGGGUGCGCUAAGCCUUGGAACGGUGGUUUCUGUGGGGAGGGGUCCUGGGGGGAGGAGUUGGGCCACACUACUCAAUGGUACAAGAAGGUGCACUGGAGUCUCCAAGGAAACAGCCAAUAGCCCGAGGGCCUGAGCUCACCCAGAAGCUGGCAAGAUCAAGGGCAAGUUCCUCUGUGUCCAGGAUGCCUAGCCCCUCUCAACCUCAUUUACCCAGGCAGGUGUGUGGCUGCUUAAGGCCUGGAGCCUGUGGACCCAGCAGAAGUGACGGGGCAGAUGCGAUGGUCCCUGCGGGAGAGGCUUUACCUGCUUGUUCUUAGGACCCAUGCGCAAGUCCUUACACCCGGGUUCUCUGAGCUCCACCCCCUCCAGCUCUCAGAGAAGCCAGAGCAAAAGGGAGAGGUUAAGUGUGAGUUUCUUGGAGACGAAAAGAAUAGACAGGAGAGAAACACCAAGGACGGAGAUUUGGCAUCCAGGGCUUCUUGUGUUCCUUAAAGACAAACGCCAUGCUUCUCCUUUCCCCAGUGCCUUGCUUGACUCAACGGACGAACUCUGUGCGAGGCACCAAAGUGCCGAGUGUCAGGGAACCCCCAAGAGGAAGGUGAAGAGACCUUGACUCCUACUCCCAUCUGGCACAAGGCCAUUUGAUGACCAUAGUCAUGAUGCUGUAGAGGUUGGGACAGAGUGGGGGUGGGAUGGGGGUGCUGGAUGGGGAAGAAGGGCUUAGGGAAGGUGGUGCUCAACAGAAUCCAGUGGAAGAACGAUGCCCCAGGUUGGCUGUGCUGGCAGCAGCCCAGCUCAACUCAAGUUCAGUUUAAAAAAAAAUCACUGUCAAACUGCUGGAGGGGAAGGAGUGUGUGAGGCAAGGUUUCUACCUUCCUGUUGCCACACACAGCUCCCAAACUAGUAAACUUGUGGUUGUCACGGAGCAUGGCCCAGGUAGCUCACACAUCAGCACCAGGUCCUUGCUCUGACUGCCUGAAUCACUAAAGGGGCCUCAGGGGAGACAGGAAGCUAAGAAUGAAGAGCUAUAGAGUCUCAGGGACAUUCAUCUUUUCUUACUUUCUUUCCUAUUUCUGUUUGUUUUGUUCUGUCGGGCUCUGAUUUUGUAGGCACUUGGAGUGGCCGGCCACUCACCCUAUAACCCAAGAUGGAAGACUUGAGACUUCACUGACUCAAUCACCUGGGCUCUGGAGUUAAAAGCGUGCAUUAUCACACUUGACAACCUUCAUCUUUUUUGCACCUUAGUUUUCUGGUCUAGAAAGAGAACGGUUUGGAUAGGGAUGCAUAUCAGCCAGAAGAAUGCCUUCCUCGCAUAAGUGAAGCUCCGGGAUUGAGUCCCAGCGUUGCAUCCAACGGAGCAUGGUGACGCACUGGCAUUAAUCUCAGCACCUGGGAGAUGGAAGAGGGAGGAUCCAAACUGCAAAGCUCUCCUUGCCUAGCUAAUGACUCUGAGACCACCCUGUGCCCACAAACCAGAAUCAGAAAGAGAGAGGACCAGUGGGGUGGCUCAGCAGGUAACUAAGCCUGGGAACCUGUGCUUGCUUCCAGGCCCCACGUGGUAGAAGGGAGACCCGACUCUUACAAAUUGUCCUCUGCGCAUGCGUCAUUUGUACCUGUGCACCCAUGAAAUAAAUUAAGUGUAGCUAGAAAUA